ensembl:lncRNA
AUGUCCCAUAAUCACCUUAAACUUGUUUCUUGUUUGUUUUCAGAUGACGACGUGGACUUGGAAGCUUUGGUAAAUGACAUGAACUCCUCAUUUGAAAGUUUGUAUUCUACAUGUAGCAUGCAGUCAGAAACUGCCCCCCUCCUUCAAAAUGGUCAACAUAACCGUAGCCAGUUGCCAACCUCAGGAACAAGUGCCCUCCAGCAGCAAGCGUCCCCAAAACAGAAAGUUCAGCGCUCUCAACCCAUGCACAUUCUAGCAGUCAGACGCCUUCAGGAAGAAGACCAACAAUUUAGAACCUCGUCUCUGCCCGCCAUACCAAAUCCAUUUCCUGAGCUUUGCAGCCCCACUAAUUCUCCUGUUCUCACAACAAGCUCUUUACCUCAGAAUCAACCAGCCAGCAAGCAGGUGAGUAAUUUUUGUACAUCAAUGUGUAUAAAGUGCUUUGCCAAUCUUAAAGCACCAUGUAAAUAUCAACUGUUAUAUUACUAUUGUCGUUGUCUACCAUUAUUUUCUAGGUGCUUAGAAGACCAUGAGCUGGUGGUCCAAGUGGAAAGCACAAUGGGAGGUGAAAGUAAAUUUUUAUUCAGGAAGAAUUAUGCAAAAUAUGAGUUUUUCAAAAAUCCCAUGAAUUUCUUCCCAGAACAGAUGGUGGCUUGGUGUCAGCAAUCAAAUGGCAGUAUUCCCCAAACUCAGCUUUUGCAGAAUUUUUUAAACUCCAGCAGUUGUCCUGAAAUUCAAGGUUUUUUACAUGUGAAAGAGCUAGGCAGGAAGUCCUGGAAAAAAUUAUAUGUCUAUUUGCGAAGAUCAGGACUUUAUUGCUCCACAAAAGGAACUUCAAAGGAGCCAAGGCAUCUGCAGUUACUGGCUGACCUGGAAGACAGCAAUAUCUUUUCUCUGAUAGCAGGCAGGAAACAGUAUAAUGCCCCUACAGACUAUGGGUUUUGUAUAAAGCCAAACAAAUUAAGGAAUGAGACAAAAGACCUCAGGUUACUGUGUGCUGAAGAUGAACAGAGCAGAACGUGUUGGAUGACGGCUUUUAGGCUCCUCAAGUAUGGCAUGCUCCUUUAUCAGAAUUACAGAAUUCCACAGCAGAGGAAAGCCUGGCUUUCCCACUUCUCAACCCCCGUGCGCAGUGUGUCUGAGAACUCUCUCGUAGCAAUGGACUUUUCCGGUCAAACAGGAAGAGUGAUUGAGAACCCUGCUGAAGCUCAAAGCGCAGCCUUGGAAGAGGGCCAUGCGUGGAGGAAACGAAGCACAAGGAUGAAUGUCUUAGGUAGCCAAAGUCCCCUCCACCCUUCUACGCUAAGCACAGUGAUCCAUAGGACCCAAAACUGGUUUCAUGGAAGGAUUUCUCGGGAAGAAUCCCAUAGGAUUAUUAAACAGCAGGGGCUUGUGGAUGGGCUCUUCCUCCUUCGUGACAGCCAGAGUAAUCCAAAGGCAUUUGUACUCACACUGUGCCAUCACCAGAAAAUCAAAAAUUUCCAGAUAUUACCUUGUGAGGACGAGGGACAAAUGUUCUUCAGCCUUGAUGAUGGAAAUACCAAAUUCACCGAUCUGAUCCAACUUGUUGAGUUCUACCAGCUAAACAAAGGAGUUUUGCCUUGCAAACUCAAACAUCACUGUAUCAGAGUGGCCUUAUGACCUUGAAUUUGGCUCUUGGUUGAAGACUGGAUUUGCUAGAAGAAUAACUAAGAGAAAGUUAACACUGGAAUGGAUGAGCAGGUCUGUAAAUUGGUUUAAAAGUUAUGUUCUGCACCUCAAGACUCUCAAAGGGAUGGAUUCAGUGGGUGCCAACAGACCAAGAUCCUCCUGGUUUGUCCAACACCUAAGAAUGAUCUGCUGCUGAGUAUCCCAGCACACCUUCCUCCCCUUGCCAAAUAAAGGAAGGCAUGUAGAAUUGUGUGCA